GCCAGGUGUGGUGGCGCACACCUGUAAUCCCAGAUACUUGGGAGGCUGAGACAGGAGAAUCGCUUGAACCCAGGAGGCAGAGGUUGCAGUGAGCCGAGAUCAUGCCACUGCACUCAAGCCUGGGCAGCAGAGUGAGACUCUGUCUCAA
rnacentral:SRP_RNA from 1 species